GCAAUGCCCGCGUCACCUAUCGCGGGCGCACCGUUACCGUGCGUGGGUUCCGCCAUGGUCGUCCGAUGAGCGUGACAUUUGCCGAUACGCGCGGUUGCCCGAUCAUCCGCUAGACCGCAUCCCGAAAAGUGUGAAACGGUUUUCGGAAAAGAUGCGCGUCAAAACAAAGGAUUAGAGCGCCGAUCUGUUUUAAU
rnacentral:misc_RNA from 1 species